ensembl:lncRNA SLC22A18AS SLC22A18 antisense RNA
ACUCUCUGCGACGGCCCAGAUGGAGGGCAGGAGGAACAGCGGUUCAGCCCUGGCUGGGGCUGCAGGGGCUGGGGUGUGUUACUCACUGGCACGAUGGAGAACUGCAUGAAGAGGCAGCGGAGUGCUGUCUGUCCCCACCCUUCCCCGCCCGGCCUCCAACUGGUGGGAACUGGAUUUUGCGGCUGCAGAGGACUUCCCCAAAUUUUGCCACAUUAACAGCUGACUGCACAUCUGAGCCCCGAGGUGAAGCAGGGCCUCAGGUAGCCAGGGAACUGGUUGAGCAGAGGAAAUCGGAGAGACCUUUUUUUUUGUCAUGAACAGGCUCAGUGUGAAUGGGGGAACUUCCUGGUUCUGAGGGAAUGUGGGAAAAUUGCCCUUUAGGCUGGGUGAAGAAGAAAGCAAGUGGAACCCUGGCACCCCUGGACUUCCUCCUCCAGAGGAAGCGGCUUUGGUUGUGGGCCAGCGAGCCUGUGCGUCCCCAGCCCCAGGGCAUUCACCGCUUCAGAGAAGCAAGGCGACAGUUCUGCCGGAUGAGAGGAUCCAGGCUGACUGGAGGAAGGAAGGGCUUUGGCUCAUCUGGGCUCAGGUUUGGGAGAGGUGGCUUCUCAGAGGAGGUGAUGCCUCAGCCAGUCUUAAAGGCAAUGCGGUGUGCAGAGGGUGCUUGGUGGUUCUCUCCUGAUGGCCCCGCAGGGUCUGCAGCCUCCAUCUGGCCAGCAGAGGGCGCAGAAGGACUGCCUGGGCAGCUCGGACGUGACCGCCUGGAAGUGGUGUACAGCGUUCCUGACAACGUUCCCGGCCAAAACGGGUCCCGCCGCCCACUUGUGUGCAAGAUAACUGGAAAAUGUCUUUCUGUGUGCUCCGAGGAGAAUGCAAAGGCUGGUGGAUGUAGUGCCUUUCCUCUACUGCUCUCUCAGCUGGGGGCAAGAAUGACAGGACGUGAACAUGCACACAAGGGCCCGGAACUCACGACCCCCGACAGCGGUCUCCCCCGCCCCCCCAACCCCGCGCUUGCAGGAUUUAGGGCACUAGCACAGCACAGUCCACCCCUUGGGACUAGCACCCCCUCCGCAGUUCUGCUCUCUGCAGCAACAUAGAGUACAAAUAUUGUUCCUUUUGUUUCUUUUUUCCCUUUGGAUACAUUUUUAAUUACAAAAAUAGAGCUUGAUUGUUGCACCUAGACAGAUGUUUGCUUGCUUCUGGGCCCAUUGGGCCUCCUCUCAGAGCCUGGAACUCCCAGCCCCCAGCUCCUGGGGUGCCUUCCUCCAGGUGUGUCCCUGGCUUGGGCUGGGGGGACACAGCCCCGCUCCUGGGACGUGCAGGUUUAAAAUGCUAUUGGGUACCAUCUUUGAUCGAAUUCAGAGUGACAGACUUAGAGCAGGUCACCUCUCAGCUUCUAACGAGGCCAAGACGGAGGAAUCCCCACAGCACUGGGUUUGACUCUGUAAUUAAGCUGGUAAAGUGGAAAAAUAAAAGUAGGAAACCUAAGUGGAAACCAAACCAGAAAGCCAGGCAGCCCGGGAGUUCUGAGCCCUGCUUCCUUCCAGCUGUGCGGCCUCAGCGGCUGACGCGGUCUCUGCUGCUCUUCUAUAACACAGGAUGAUGGCAGCUACACCCUCUGAGUGGUGUCACCAAGGCCAAUGAGUCCUGAUGGUUGGAGUGUGGGUAUCCGGGGGCCUCUAGGUCACUACCCACUCUAGCCCUUUGCUCCUAGUCUCUGGGGAGGUGGCAGCAUAGGGGCAUGGAGCAGACUAGACUUUGCCUCUUUCUGCCCCCAGGCCAGUUGAUAUGAGCCCUGCUUGAGGGGUUCGCAGGGCCUGGGGAGCCUUCUUCAGCUUCUCUUUGUUUUCCUAAGAUGAAAAUUGUGACAUCUGGGCUUGUUGCGGGAAAUUUGUAAAUUGUGCACAGAGAAGAAUAUGAAAUUGCACAUAAA